rnacentral:rRNA from 1 species
UUAAGCGACUAAGCGUACACGGUGGAUGCCCUGGCAGUCAGAGGCGAUGAAGGGCGUGCUAAUCUGCGAUAAGCGCCGGUAAGGUGAUAUGAACCGUUAUAACCGGCGAUACCCGAAUGGGGAAACCCAGUGUGAUUCGUCACACUAUCAUUAACUGAAUCCAUAGGUUAAUGAGGCGAACCGGGGGAACUGAAACAUCUAAGUACCCCGAGGAAAAGAAAUCAACCGAGAUUCCCCCAGUAGCGGCGAGCGAACGGGGAGGAGCCCAGAGCCUGAAUCAGCAUGUGUGUUAGUGGAAGCGUCUGGAAAGGCGCGCGAUACAGGGUGACAGCCCCGUACACAAAAGCGCAUGUGCUGUGAGCUCGAUGAGUAGGGCGGGACACGUGGUAUCCUGUCUGAAUAUGGGGGGACCAUCCUCCAAGGCUAAAUACUCCUGACUGACCGAUAGUGAACCAGUACCGUGAGGGAAAGGCGAAAAGAACCCCGGCGAGGGGAGUGAAAAAGAACCUGAAACCGUGUACGUACAAGCAGUGGGAGCCCCACCACUAAGCCAGUGGUGAACUCCACAUCCGCAUCCUUUGCUGAGGAUACGGUUAACGGAGCGAAAGCGACGUUCAACCGCAAAACAAGCAGAGGGGGCUUAGUGGUGGGGUGACUGCGUACCUUUUGUAUAAUGGGUCAGCGACUUAUAUUCUGUAGCAAGGUUAACCGUAUAGGGGAGCCGGAGGGAAACCGAGUCUUAAUUGGGCGUUAAGUUGCAGGGUAUAGACCCGAAACCCGGUGAUCUAGCCAUGGGCAGGUUGAAGGUUGGGUAACACUAACUGGAGGACCGAACCGACUAAUGUUGAAAAAUUAGCGGAUGACCUGUGGCUGGGGGUGAAAGGCCAAUCAAACCGGGAGAUAGCUGGUUCUCCCCGAAAGCUAUUUAGGUAGCGCCUCGUGAAUUCAUCUCCGGGGGUAGAGCACUGUUUCGGCUAGGGGGCCAUCCCGGCUUACCAACCCGAUGCAAACUGCGAAUACCGGAGAAUGUUAUCACGGGAGACACACGGCGGGUGCUAACGUCCGUCGUGAAGAGGGAAACAACCCAGACCGCCAGCUAAGGUCCCAAAGUCAUGGUUAAGUGGGAAACGAUGUGGGAAGGCCCAGACAGCCAGGAUGUUGGCUUAGAAGCAGCCAUCAUUUAAAGAAAGCGUAAUAGCUCACUGGUCGAGUCGGCCUGCGCGGAAGAUGUAACGGGGCUAAACCAUGCACCGAAGCUGCGGCAGCGAACGUAUCACCCAAGACAACUUUACGGAGUUGACGAUUGACGGAGCGAAGCGACGUCAAAGCGUUCAUUAAAGUCGAGUUGGCUUAGGGAUACGUUCGUUGGGUAGGGGAGCGUUCUGUAAGCCUGUGAAGGUGUGUCGUGAGGCAUGCUGGAGGUAUCAGAAGUGCGAAUGCUGACAUAAGUAACGAUAAAGCGGGUGAAAAGCCCGCUCGCCGGAAGACCAAGGGUUCCUGUCCAACGUUAAUCGGGGCAGGGUGAGUCGACCCCUAAGGCGAGGCCGAAAGGCGUAGUCGAUGGGAAACGGGUUAAUAUUCCCGUACUUGGUGUUACUGCGAAGGGGGGACGGAGAAGGCUAUGUUGGCCGGGCGACGGUUGUCCCGGUUUAAGCGUGUAGGUGUGUGUUCCAGGUAAAUCCGGUUCACUUUAACACUGAGGCGUGACGACGAGGCACUACGGUGCUGAAGCAACAAAUGCCCUGCUUCCAGGAAAAGCCUCUAAGCAUCAGGUAACACGAAAUCGUACCCCAAACCGACACAGGUGGUCAGGUAGAGAAUACCAAGGCGCUUGAGAGAACUCGGGUGAAGGAACUAGGCAAAAUGGUGCCGUAACUUCGGGAGAAGGCACGCUGACACGUAGGUGAAGUGAUUUACUCAUGGAGCUGAAGUCAGUCGAAGAUACCAGCUGGCUGCAACUGUUUAUUAAAAACACAGCACUGUGCAAACACGAAAGUGGACGUAUACGGUGUGACGCCUGCCCGGUGCCGGAAGGUUAAUUGAUGGGGUCAGCGCAAGCGAAGCUCCUGAUCGAAGCCCCGGUAAACGGCGGCCGUAACUAUAACGGUCCUAAGGUAGCGAAAUUCCUUGUCGGGUAAGUUCCGACCUGCACGAAUGGCGUAAUGAUGGCCAGGCUGUCUCCACCCGAGACUCAGUGAAAUUGAACUCGCUGUGAAGAUGCAGUGUACCCGCGGCAAGACGGAAAGACCCCGUGAACCUUUACUAUAGCUUGACACUGAACAUUGAGCCUUGAUGUGUAGGAUAGGUGGGAGGCUUUGAAGUGUGGACGCCAGUCUGCAUGGAGCCGACCUUGAAAUACCACCCUUUAAUGUUUGAUGUUCUAACGUGGACCCGUAAUCCGGGUUGCGGACAGUGUCUGGUGGGUAGUUUGACUGGGGCGGUCUCCUCCUAAAGAGUAACGGAGGAGCACGAAGGUUGGCUAAUCCUGGUCGGACAUCAGGAGGUUAGUGCAAUGGCAUAAGCCAGCUUGACUGCGAGCGUGACGGCGCGAGCAGGUGCGAAAGCAGGUCAUAGUGAUCCGGUGGUUCUGAAUGGAAGGGCCAUCGCUCAACGGAUAAAAGGUACUCCGGGGAUAACAGGCUGAUACCGCCCAAGAGUUCAUAUCGACGGCGGUGUUUGGCACCUCGAUGUCGGCUCAUCACAUCCUGGGGCUGAAGUAGGUCCCAAGGGUAUGGCUGUUCGCCAUUUAAAGUGGUACGCGAGCUGGGUUUAGAACGUCGUGAGACAGUUCGGUCCCUAUCUGCCGUGGGCGCUGGAGAACUGAGGGGGGCUGCUCCUAGUACGAGAGGACCGGAGUGGACGCAUCACUGGUGUUCGGGUUGUCAUGCCAAUGGCACUGCCCGGUAGCUAAAUGCGGAAGAGAUAAGUGCUGAAAGCAUCUAAGCACGAAACUUGCCCCGAGAUGAGUUCUCCCUGAGACUUAGAGUCUCCUGAAGGAACGUUGAAGACGACGACGUUGAUAGGCCGGGUGUGUAAGCGCAGCGAUGCGUUGAGCUAACCGGUACUAAUGAACCGUGAGGCUUAACCUU